AAAAUGGUAUGGCAAUCAGAAGAAUUCUGACUUUUAGAGCUUCUCUGUUCAUUCUUGUUAGAAAAGUAAGCCGUUACCACUCUUCCCUCCAAAAUCACAAAAACUUUGCCUGGAUUUUUACCUCAAACACUUAUCCUUUUCCUACCAAUGGAAGGAACAGUGGUUUCAUUGAAAGGAAUCACUUUGUACAAACCGCAUAAGUAAUCCUUUUCUUCUCCUCCAUGUUCCAUAUAUAAAACCUUCCUCUUUCAUCAACUUCCUACAUCAUCAUAAUCAUCACCAUGUCUUUGAGUCCUCCAAGAGAGAGAAUCAACGGCCAACAUAGGAACUUCCAUCUCUACUGGUGCUUCCAAUGCAACCGCUCCGUCCGCGUCGCAUCCGAUAACUCCACAGAAUUAAUAUGCCCACGCUGCUUCGGUCAAUUCAUAUGCGAAAUCACCAUACCAAGACCGAGACUCAUGAUAGACUUCACCGCACACGAUCCUUCCCCAGAAGCGCGUUUGCUAGAAGCACUUUCCCUCAUCAUCGACCCACCCACCCGAACACCACGCCCACGAGAAGUUCCCGUGCACCGCCGCACAGGGGAUCAUCCGACCCGAACACAACCCGAGCCCGGAAUCCAACAUCAUCCACGUACAUGGGUUAUCCUUCAACCCGUGGAUCCUUCAGAUUCAAACACGUUUCAACCCAUGAUUAAUCCACGUGGACGACAGGGAUCAAUACCGAUUCCGCGUGGCGUUGAUGCAGGAGAUUACUUUUUCGGCCCCGGUUUUAACGAACUGGUAGACCAAAUAACUGAAAACGACCGGCAAGGUCCGCCGCCGGUGCCGGAGAGAGGCAUAAACGCGAUUCCGACGGUGAAAAUCGAGAGUAAGAAUCUGAAAGAGAAUUCUCAUUGUCCUGUUUGUCAGGAAGAGUUUGAAAUUGGCGGUGAAGCGAGGGAACUUCCAUGUAAACAUAUAUAUCACUCUGAUUGCAUUGUUCCGUGGCUUAGACUUCAUAAUUCUUGUCCAAUUUGUCGUCAAGAGGUUCCUGUAGGUUCUGAUGAUGAGUGUAGUGAAGAAGAAGGUGGUGGAGGUAGGUUACGAAGGUGCUUGAGGUGGACUCGUGUUUCGUCUCUUUGGCCUUUUCAUGGAAGGUAUAGAAGAGUUCAUCCUCAAAGACACAAUGGUUCUGGUUCUGCUUCUUCAACAACAAGGGAAUCUAAUUCAAGGUGGCAUUUUUGCUGCAUUCUUUAAUGCAUGAAUCCAAUGAUUAACUUCUUCAGCUUGAGGCUGAAAUCAUGAAUAUCAUUUCAGGUUGUUAACAUGUAAACGCAGUAGACUGGUUGUCAUAGUCACAAGAAUAAAAUGGUCUUACUAUCGAAGUCAAGAAUCGAAACUAAGUAAAUGAAGUUAGGCAUCCGUGCAAAACUGUUACUUGUUGUAAAUGAUGUUUAUCUUUCAUUCAUAAGAGGCUACAUUUAUUUGUUAAUUUUAUUAAUAUCUAAAUCUAAAAAUGUACAUAGUUACUGGAUAUCAACUAAAUACGCAUACACUAGGAAUGGUGAUUGUCAUAAAAUAACAAAUUGGUUACCAUGUUAUAUAUCAUUGUGUUUGCUGUA